UUUCAGAAAGCUGAAACGUACGUAAGAUCUUCCUAGUGUUGUUGUAACUGCAUCAAGGUGAACUUUUUUUUGUUCCAGGCUGAAGGACUCGUCUGGCACAGCACUUCCUUCAGGAACCCCCAACAGCAGAUGCGACCGUUGCCUUUUCUGGCCAUGGCACUUGGUAGAGCAAGCGACCCGUGCACAACUUGCAAGCUGCAAACCCUCUAAAAUCGGCACUCGCACAUGUGAACCCCAGUGCUGAUUUGCUAAGGAUGGGCUCCAAAUACUUACAACCAGGAGAAGAGCUUGUUGGGGAGCCGGCUUCUAUCAGACUAUGUGUUGUCUGGCUGAAUCAGCAGGUAGCACUGAUGGCAUACGGCACCGCCGCGCUUAUCACAGGCGCUGCACAUUCCCUCCACCACCAGCACGCAGGAAAGAUGGCAAAAACCGAGCUUGAAGGUCAGAACCACCUUCGGGUGAAGAAAAGCACAAGACCUGUUCCCACUGAGGCUGGUCCCAAACUCUCCAUCCCCAUCACUUCUGCACCCACGGGAAAGCAGUGA
rnacentral:lncRNA from 1 species